UCGGCUCUGUUUUCAGCCUUUAGAAAACCUAGCCUGUGACGGGAGACUUUGGUCAAUCACAGGUCAUUUUGGCUGAGAGAGAGCGUUCAUAUUGGCUGUUCUGUUCAUGCAUAUGCCUGUGUGAAAGAGAAGGAGAGCUGCAGGAAGAGGUCUCACUCGACUUCAAAUGUUGGCUAUUUUUCUUUCUUC